rnacentral:rRNA from 1 species
UACGAAGGGGGGCUAGCGUUGUUCGGAAUUACUGGGCGUAAAGCGCGCGCAGGCGGCUAUCCAAGUCAGUGGUGAAAGCCCGGAGCUCAACUCCGGAACUGCCAUUGAAACUGUUUAGCUUGAGGACGAGAGAGGUGAGUGGAAUUCCCAGUGUAGAGGUGAAAUGCGUAGAUAUGCGGAGGAACACCGAUGGCGAAGGCAAUCCCCUGGACCUGUACUGACGCUCAUGCACGAAAGCGUGGGGAGCAAACAGG